UAUAAUUUAAAGUAGGGCCUGCCCACUGAUUUUUUGAAGGGCCGCAGUAUUUUGACUGUGCAAAGGUAGCAUAAUCAUUAGUUUUUUAAUUGAAAGCUAGAAUGAAUGGUUUGAUGAGAAAAUAACUGUCUUAGUUUUAAUAAAAGAACUUUAUUUUUAAGUUAAAAAGCUUAAAUAUUUUUAAAAGACGAGAAGACCCUAUAGAGUUUUAUUUUUAUUUUAAUGUUAAUUUUUAGUAUUAACUUUUUAUAUUAAAAUAAAAAUUUGAUUGGGGUGAUUGAAAAAUUUAAUAAACUUUUUUUAAAUUAAAACAUAGGUAAAUG
rnacentral:rRNA from 1 species